UUGAAAGUGACUACAUCGGG
rnacentral:sRNA from 1 species